rnacentral:misc_RNA from 1 species
UUUUUUUUUGGCUAUCAGGAUUUAAACUUGCGAUGUUUAUUCUUAAGGAUCAAAGGUUUUGUAACCUGAUAAAGUGCAGCGACGGAUCGGAACUUCCUUUUCUUAGGAGGAGAAGCUUCGUCGAAAAUCUCUUCCAUAUUCACGGCUGCUGACGAUGAUACGUCCGCCGUAUCGCCGACGCUUUCUUCUUCUCCGUGCUCCCUUUCUACGAUCACUACUCUUGAACUGUCGCCGGCGUUAUGGUAAAUUUCACGGCUGCUAUCGGAAUCUCCGCUAAGCUGAAUAAGCUGCAACGCCGCGUUCAUCUCCGGCUCCGUCAGUUUUUCUGGUUCUGUUUGAAUUCCUCUAUUUUUCACCGUUGAUUUCUUCAUUUUAUGG